rnacentral:rRNA from 1 species
AACUUGCCUUUGCGAGGGGGAUAACCUUUGGAAACGACUGCUAAUACCGCAUAAUGUCUUCGGACCAAACGGGGCUUCGGCUCCGGCGCAAAGAGAGGCCCAAGUGAGAUUAUCUAGUUGGUAAGGUAACGGCUUACCAUGGCGACGAUCUCUAGCUGUUCUGAAAGGAAGAUCAGCCACACUGGGACUGAGACACGGCCCAUACUCCUACUGGAGGCAGCAGUGGGGAAUAUUGCACAAUGGGGGAAACCCUGAUGCACCCAUGCCGCGUGUGUGAAGAAGGCCUUCGGGUUGUAAAGCACUUUCUGUUGUGAGGAAAAGUUAGUAGUUAAUACCUGCUAGCCGUGACGUUAACAACAGAAGAAGCACCGGCUAACUCCGUGCCAGCGGCCGCGGUAAUACGGAGGGUGCGAGCGUUAAUCGGAAUUACUGGGCGUAAAGCGCACGCAGGCGGUUUGUUAAGCUAGAUGUGAAAGCCCCGGGCUCAGCCUGGGAUGGUCAUUUAGAACUGGCAUACUAUAGUCUUGGAGAGGGGAGUGGAAUUCCAGGUGUAGCGGUGAAAUGCGUAGAUAUCUGGAGGAACAUCAGUGGCGAAGGCGACUCCCUGGCC